GCUAUAGCUCAUUGGUAUAGCACAUGUUUUUCAUGCAUAAGGUCCCAUGUUCAAUCCCUAGUGUCUGCA